AGGUUACAUCACCAUAUGGCAGCGUUUUGCACCACAGUGAAAACGCUACGCAUGGUCAGUUUGCGUUUACAACCCAAGAAUCAGGAACCUACUUGGCCUGUUUUGAGGCUGUAGGGAAUAGUCACGGCAACAAGGAUAUCAGCAUCAACCUUGACUGGAAAACUGGAAUCGCGGCCAAGGAUUGGGACUCCAUUGCCAGAAAAGAGAAAUUGAUUGCUCGGAUUCAAGUUUCCUUAUCUUGAAAACGUUUAUGCUAAUGAUUUGGCGUUAAUGUUCUUUGAUUGUUCAAGUUGUGCAUUUAACUGUUAAGGUAAUGGAACAAAACCAUCUAGCUGAUUCACUAAUGUAUGAAAAGAGAUUUCUAUGUGAUUUUGAUAAGAGAAUCAUAUUGACACAAGGGUUGUGCAAAUAGACCGUUUUGUGAAUAUAAUGUAUAUUCAUCAGUUCUUGAUAUAUCGACGGUCUUGGGCAUACGCUACGCAUGGUCAGUUUGCGUUUACAACCCAAGAAUCAGGAACCUACUUGGCCUGUUUUGAGGCUGUAGGGAAUAGUCACGGCAACAACGAUAUCAGCAUCAACCUUGACUGGAAAACUGGAAUCGCGGCCAAGGAUUGGGACUCCAUUGCCAGAAAAGAGAAGAUCGAGGUCAGCUCUCCAUUUCCCAAUAAAAUUUUACAAUUUGCACUUAAAAAUAUUCAACACACUUAUAAGAGUAGUUUGUGGAAUAAAGUUAAGUCUCUAUACGAAGCACUAUUAUGCAUUAAAUCGUA
rnacentral:lncRNA from 1 species